rnacentral:lncRNA from 1 species
UCCUCCACACCAUGCCGCAUAAAGGGGUGGACUCCUCUUGUAUUAUCCAUGGGAUUGGCGUCCCAUGGUCCUGCCAAAAAUGAAGGUAGGCGCCAUCCAUUCUUCCCAUUUAUUCCACACACCAUUUAGAGAUAAUUAGGAGAUAAUGUAGAGAUAAUUAGGAGAUAAUGUAUGCCAACUCAUUGACGUUAUCCAAUCCUUUUGGGCUCACAAUUAAGAGUCCAAUUAAAUCCAAAUGGAUUUAGGUUAGGUUCAAGGCUAUGGACUUGAUCCAAUCGAAGUCUCUAAAAGAAUU